ACUUGAAUAUCUUAUAUAGAGUACGACAUUGAAGCUGUCGUUGAGGUUGAUAGUACCUUCAGGUG
rnacentral:tRNA from 1 species